rnacentral:rRNA from 1 species
GCUACCCCCACGAAAGGGAUGAUUCUUCGGGACAUGAGGCAGUCGGGCAGUUCCCGAAUACAAUCAAAGCGAUUCAUGUGCAGUAAAUGUCGAUUUGUCAUGUCAGCCAGGGGUUGCUUCCCGAGAGCCAAAAUGUGGGUCUUGCACGUGCGAUCGAUGUUGGAAGCAGGAGCCAGACCUUAGUUGCAUAAUUAGAGUAUGAUAGCCAGCGUGUCGCUGGAUUUGAUAGCUAGCAUAGUUAAUGGUAGUGAGAUUUCCUUGUCGAUUGCUGUAGUCGCAGUAAGUGUUACUAGGGACCGUAGAGGUCAUUAGUACUCACGUGAGAGAGAUGAAAUUCGUCGAUCCUGUGUAGACUAACAUGUGAGUAAGCAUUCCCACAGGAUGGAUUCGCUAAUCAAGAUCGAAGGUUAGCGUAUAGAUAACUAUGAGAGUAAAGCUGUAGUCUGAACAGUAUACUAUGUCGACUAGGGAUUGGUCGAUGCUAUCUGUCUGAAUCGAUAGAUCACCUAGGAGAAAUCACAGUUCAGGCAGUACGGGGGGAGAGUGGUAGCAAGGGUGCAGGUUAAAGAUACAGAUGGAAGGGCAUCACCAGGAGCGGAGCUUGUGUAUUAAUUUGAAUCAGCAAGGGGAGAGUCUGCAGGUCCCGGCAUAGGAAGGAAAGACAGACUGAUAGAUGGAUCUAGAUUGUAUGCGUGGCGGUGCAUGGCCGUUAAAAGUGGGUGGAGUGAUGUGUCUGCUUAACUUCGAUGAGGAGGGAGGCGGUAAUCUGGGUAGCAUAGCCGCAUUCGUUGGAGGUGGUAGGCGGGUUUCAGGAUGGGUCUCUGGAGUUGAGCCAUUGGUAGUCGGAGGCAGUAGCAGGUAUGGGAGGCCUUUAUAUGAUCAUGGACACACGAUAGGGCAGAUGAUUGGAACGAAGGAGUGCCAGCAUGUGGGCAAGGGGUGGGAGAUGUUGUGAAGAUUCGUCAACAAGGGGGAGUAGCAUCGCAAAAAUACAUCCUCUCCGGAGAGUUGGGGGUAGGAGGCAGUUAUCAGCUCGAGAAGUUCCACAGCUAUCCAUGUGGCAACACCCAUCGAAGAAACUAUAGAUGGAAUGGUGAACCGAUCGCAGGGGCACAGCACAAAGUAGCGGAAACGGGGACGAGCGGGGGGGAAUUUAGGCAACAAGCGAUCAGUAAGAGGACGGAAUCGUCCAGGCA